rnacentral:rRNA from 1 species
CCUACGGGUGGCAGCAGUGAGGAAUAUUGGUCAAUGGCCGGAAGUCUGAACCAGCCAAGCCGCGUGAAGGACGAAGGUGCCAAGCAUUGUAAACUUCUUUUGUCAAGGGACAAAAUCAGGCUCGAGAGCCUGACCGAAGGUACUUGAAGAAAAAGCAUCGGCUAACUCCGUGCCAGCAGCCGCGGUAAUACGGAGGAUGCGAGCGUUAUCCGGAUUUAUUGGGUUUAAAGGGUGCGUAGGCGGGCUGUUAAGUCAGCGGUAAAAGCCCGGGGCUCAACCCCGGCGAGCCGUGGAAACUGGCUGUCUUGAGAUGUCGAGAGGUAUGCGGAAUGCGCAGUGUAGCGGUGAAAUGCUUAGAUAUUGCGCAGAACUCCGAUUGCGAAGGCAGCAUACCGGCGGCGAUCUGACGCUGAGGCACGAAAGCGUGGGUAUCGAACAGGAUUAGAUACCCCAGUAGUC